CACUUUGUAUUAUCCAUCAUUCGAACUAAAAUUUGAUCGGUCAAUAAUCAAAACUUCGAGGAGGACAUUUCACUUAGAUUUUACCGUAUUUACAAUGCAUGUCGUAUAAAUCGUUGGUAGCCUACUGAACUACUGAAUUCCGAGAAAGUUAGAAAUAAGGAAUCAUCAAAUCAAAAUCACUUACUCAGAUCACUCGUUCUGCAUGGGUCUGCAAUUCCAUACUGAUUGACCGUAAUUGGUCCAUUAUACAAGGUUUUGUUGCCGAAUGUUAUGUCAGUCGAGUUUUGUAAAGCAACGCUUGAUAUAUGCGAAAUUGGUGACUUGUCAGGCACAUUAAUUGCCGCUACACUUGAACCGACAUAUUCGUCUUCACUAUCCACAGUUGUCUCCGAAGUGGCAUCUUCCACAUCACUGAUGUAUACAUUAUUUUGGGUCAUUUGGAAUUGAUUUCUUAAUCAUUAAUGCACAACACAAAAGUUAAUUAAAGUUUGUUGCGAAUACAA